rnacentral:rRNA from 9 species
CUAGUACGAGAGGACCGGGGUGAACGAUCCACUGGUGGACCAGUUGUCGUGCCAACGGCAGUGCUGGGUAGCUAUGAUCGGACAGGAUAACCGCUGAAGGCAUCUAAGCGGGAAGCCCCCCUCAAAACAAGGUAUCCCUGAGAGCCGAGGUAGACCACCUCGUCGAUAGGCCAGAGAUGUAAGUGCGGUAACGCAUUCAGUUGA